UGGGUAUGAGAUAUGCUAUGGACAUGGCCAAAAAAAAAUUCCUACUGGGUUUUCUAUCUGCUACCCUGCUAGCAAUCUGUUGUGAACGUUU
rnacentral:snoRNA from 1 species